rnacentral:rRNA from 1 species
CCCUUAGAGUUUGAUCCUGGCUCAGAGCGAACGCUGGCGGCAUGCUUAACACAUGCAAGUCGUACGGGCGGGGGUGACCUCGUCGGUGGCGGACGGGUGAGUAACGCGUAGGUAUCUGUCCUUGGGUGGGGGAUAACCGUGGGAAACUGCGGCUAAUACCGCAUAUGUCCUGAGGGGCAAAGGCCUGAGAGGGUCGCCUGAGGGUGAGCCUGCUUCCGAUUAGCUGGUUGGUGGGGUAAUGGCCUACCAAGGCGAUGAUCGGUAGCUGGUCUGAGAGGAUGGUCAGCCACACUGGGACUGACACACGGCCUAUACUCCUACGGGAGGCAGCAGUGGGGAAUAUUGGACAAUGGGCGAAAGCCUGAUCCACCAAUGCCGCAUGGGUGAAGAAGGUCUUCGGAUUGUAAAGCCCUUUCUGCGGGGACGAUGAUGACGGUACCCGGAUAAGAAGCCCCGGAUAACUUCGUGCCACCAGCCGCGGUAAUACCAAAGGGGCUAGCGUUGCUCGGAAUGACUGGGCGUAAAGGGCGCGUAUGCGGCUCUCAUCGUCUGGCGUGAAAUUCCUGGGCUUAACCUGGAGGCUGCGUUGGAUACGUGCGGGCUUGAGUGUGGGAGAGGGUCGUGGAAUUCC